rnacentral:rRNA from 1 species
UGGGGAAUAUUGGACAAUGGGCGAAAGCCUGAUCCAGCCAUGCCGCGUGUGUGAAGAACGUCUUAGGAUUGUACAGCAAUGUAAGUUGGGAGGAAGGGCAUUAACCUAAUACGUUAGUGUUUUGACGUUACCGACAGAAUAAGCACCGGCUAACUCUGUGCCAGCAGCCGCGGUAAUACAGAGGGUGCAAGCGUUAAUCGGAAUUACUGGGCGUAAAGCGCGCGUAGGUGGUUUGGUAAGUUGGAUGUGAAAGCCCCGGGCUCAACCUGGGAACUGCAUCCAAAACUGGCAAGCUAGAGUACGGUAGAGGGUGGUGGAAUUUCCUGUGUAGCGGUGAAAUGCGUAGAUAUAGGAAGGAACACCAGUGGCGAAGGCGACCACCUGGACUGAUACUGACACUGAGGUGCGAAAGCGUGGGGAGCAAACA